ACAAUUGUGUUUGUCUUCUGACUCAUAUCUAGAGCUCUCUCCAUUAUACUGCAUUAUUUUAAACCUUUUCUAAGAAAGACCCUUAAUUAAGAGUCAGCUUUAUCUGUCAAUAGCUCACUAGGUACCUGGGUGUGAAAUUUUUAAAUAUAAUUGAAAGGCAGACUAUAAAAGUGUGUGCUCUGACUUGAUGGUCAGUUAUCCACUAACAGACCUUUCUUACUGAAGACUCUAGGUUUGAAAAUAUUCCAACAAACACAAAGGCAGAAAGAAUGAAUAAAAAGACUAAUUUUUGUGAAGCCCAUUUUCUUAGAUUAUAAAGCCAUAUUUCAAAUCUAAGAGAAUAUGGAACUUCUGUUUCCUAUUAGCAUUCUAAUUUUUUUCCUGAAUUCAUCAGAUUUAAGUGAACAC
rnacentral:lncRNA from 1 species